GCGAGCUAAUGGCCUUCGGGCCUUCCCGACGMAACAAAAAACCGGCGCGGAAUGCGCCAAGGAAUAUGAAAGRGAGUGCGCUCUUCCGGCGUCAGCUYGCGCUGCGCUCGGACGGGCGUCGUCUUCUUGAUGAGUUUAUAAUGACUCUCGGCAACGGAUAUCUCGGCUCUUACAUCGAUGAAGAACGUAGCAAAAUGCGAUACUUGGUGUGAAUUGCAGAAUCCCGUGAACCAUCGAGUCUUUGAACGCAAGUUGCGCCCGAAUCCAUCUGGUUGAGGGCACGUCUGCCUGGGUGUCACGURCACGCGCCUCCCGCGAACCUUCCCCUUUAUGCGGACGAAYGGUCUCGCGGGAGCAGAUGUUGGUAUCCCGUGCCUGUUUCGCGCGGCUUGCCUAAAAACGGAGAUCCGGYGACGAAACGUCGCGUCUAGUGGUGGUUGAUGAGGCCUAACGGCCGAACCAGUUCGCGGCGCGAYCGUUUGUCGCAAGAAAGUCUCGGACGACACCUCGGACGCCCCCUAACGGGCGUGCUACUGUCGCGACCCC
rnacentral:misc_RNA from 1 species